rnacentral:rRNA from 1 species
GGGGAAUUUUGGGCAAUGGGCGCAAGCCUGACCCAGCGACGCCGCGUGGGGGAUGAAGGCCUUCGGGUUGUAAACCCCUGUCAGGUGGGAAGAAAGGUCUGUCGGCGAACAGUCGGCAGACCCUGACGGUACCGCCAAAGGAAGCCCCGGCUAACUCCGUGCCAGCAGCCGCGGUAAUACGGAGGGGGCAAGCGUUAUUCGGAAUUACUGGGCGUAAAGCGUGCGUAGGCGGUUGUUUAAGUCAGAUGUGAAAGCCCUGGGCUUAACCUGGGAACUGCAUUUGAUACUGGGCAACUAGAGUUUAGUAGAGGGGAGUGGAAUUUCAGGUGUAGCGGUGAAAUGCGUAGAGAUCUGAAGGAACACCAGUGGCGAAGGCGGCUCCCUGGACUAAAACUGACGCUGAGGUACGAAAGCGUGGGUAGCAAACA